GGGCUUGUAGCUCAGUUGGCUAGAGCGCUGCAUUCGCAUUGCAGAGGUCAGGGGUUCGACUCCCCUCAAGUCCA
rnacentral:tRNA from 5 species